UACGGGGGGGGGCAAGCGUUGUUCGGAAUUACUGGGCGUAAAGAGCGUGUAGGCGGCCAAACAGGUCCGUUGUGAAAACUGGAGGCUCAACCUCCAGACGUCGACGGAAACCGUGUGGCUAGAGUCCGGAAGAGGAGAGUGGAAUUCCUGGUGUAGCGGUGAAAUGCGCAGAUAUCAGGAAGAACACCAAUGGCGAAGGCAGCUCUCUGGGACGGUACUGACGCUGAGACGCGAAAAGCGUGGGGAGCGAACAGG
rnacentral:rRNA from 1 species